ACGAACGCUGGCGGCGUGCUUCACACAUGCAAGUCGAGCGGUAAGGCCUUUCGGGGUACACGAGCGGCGAACGGGUGAGUAACACGUGGGUGAUCUGCCCUGCACUUCGGGAUAAGCCUGGGAAACUGGGUCUAAUACCGGAUAUGACCUCCUAUCGCAUGGUGGGUGGUGGAAAGAUUUAUCGGUGCAGGAUGGGCCCGCGGCCUAUCAGCUUGUUGGUGGGGUAAUGGCCUACCAAGGCGACGACGGGUAGCCGACCUGAGAGGGUGACCGGCCACACUGGGACUGAGACACGGCCCAGACUCCUACGGGAGGCAGCAGUGGGGAAUAUUGCACAAUGGGCGAAAGCCUGAUGCAGCGACGCCGCGUGAGGGAUGACGGCCUUCGGGUUGUAAACCUCUUUCAGCAGGGACGAAGCGCAAGUGACGGUACCUGCAGAAGAAGCACCGGCUAACUACGUG
rnacentral:rRNA from 1 species